rnacentral:rRNA from 1 species
AUUGAACGCUGGCGGCAGGCCUAACACAUGCAAGUCGAGCGGAUGAAGCGAGCUUGCUCCUGGAUUCAGCGGCGGACGGGUGAGUAAUGCCUAGGAAUCUGCCUGGUCGUGGGGGAUAACGUCCGGAAACGGGCGCUGAUACCGCAUACGUCCUGAUGGAGACAGUGGAGGAUCUUCGGACUUCACGCUAUCAGAUGAACGUAGGUCGGAUUAGCUAGUUGGGGGGGUAACGGGCUACAAAGGCGACGAAGCGUAACUGGUCUGAGAGGAUGAUCAGUUAGCUGGGAAGUGAGAAAGGGCCCAGACUCCUACGGUGGGAAGCAGUCGGGAAUAUUGCACGAGGGGGGAGAGCCUGAUCCAGCGAAGCCGCGGGUGGGAAGAAGGUGCUCGGAUUGGAAAGCACUGUAGGUUGGGAGAAAGGGCAGUAAGUUAAUACGUUGCUGUAUUGACGGUACCAACAGAAGAAGCACCGGCUAACUUCGUG